UUGGGGCCAAGUUGGACCCAUCCAGGACCCAUACAAUAGGCGGUGUUAGAGGAAAGCCCAUAAAAUUGUCAGAGAUUGGAGUGAUUGGAGUCACCCAAGUUAUAGACUGUUUUCUCUGCUGCUGCACGGCAAGUGGUACCGGAGCGCCAAGUCUAGAACCAAAAGGCUCCUCAACAGCUUCUACCCCCAAGCCAUAAGACUGCUAAACAAUUAGUAAAAUCUCCACUGGAUAAUUGACAUUGACCUCACCUCCCUUUUUACACUGCUGCUACUCACUGUUUAUUAUCUAUGCAUAGUCACUUCACCCCCACCUACAUGUACAAAUGACAUCAACUAGCCUGUACCCCCGCACACUGACUCGGUACCGGUGCUCCCUGUACAAAGCCUUGUUAUUGUUAUUCUUAUUGUGUUACUUUUUAUUAUUACUUUUUAUUUUAGUCUACAUGGUAAAUAUUUUCUUAACACUUCUUGAACUGCACUUUUGGUUAAGGGCUUAUAAGUAAGCAAUUCACGGUAAAGUCUACACUUGUUGUAUUUGGUGCGUGUGACAAAUAAAGUUUCAUUUGAUUUGGUUUGAAACAUACAUGUUAAUGUUAAAACUGGGUCUUAGAAGUUUCUGUUUUCCACAGUUCCCUUUAUACUGAAGCACAGAGUGAAUUCUUCACCUUACGUAAUGCUUUGUGUAUCUCAGCGCGUGUAGAGGCAAUGUAAACAGACUCAUUGUAUGGCGAGCCCUGUCAAGUUCAGUGUGUUUUCUUUUUUUCCUGGGAGCCCCGCUGAGUGUCUGUCUCUUUAAUAAGUGUAGGGAGGGAAGGGGAGGUGGGAGGGGCUUCCUAAGGAAACAGGUGUGUGCUGACAGGGAUGAUGUCCUUGUUUCAGUGUCACCUGGGAAGACCUACAUUGUAGCGGAUCCAUUAUCACAGCUCACAGCUGGUAGAGAGACCAGAGUGCAGAUGCCUCCCAGGCAGCAUGUUGAUAUAAAUUUGCUGCAGAACUGGGAAGCUCCGCUCCAUUCAGACAUUCAGGAGAGCGGGAGGGAAGAUAAACUGACCCCUGACCUUUCA
rnacentral:lncRNA from 1 species